CCUACGGGUGGCUGCAGUGAGGAAUAUUGGUCAAUGGGCGCUAGCCUGAACCAGCCAAGUAGCGUGAAGGAUGACUGCCCUAUGGGUUGUCAACUUCUUUUAUAUGGGAAUAAAGUGCAGUCUGUAUACUGCUUUGCAGGUACCUUAUGAAUAAGGACCGGCUAAAUCCGUGCCAGCAGCCGCGGUAAUACGGGAAAGCCGGGCGUUAUCCGGAUUUAUUGGGUUUAAAGGGAGCGUAGGGGGGGUGUUAAGUCAGUUGUGAAAGUGUGCGGCUCAAACGGAACAUUGCAGUUGAUACUGGAAGCCUUGAGUACAGUAGAGGUAGGCGGAAUUCGUGGUGUAGCGGUGAAAUGCAUAGAUAUCACGAGGAACUCCGAUUGCGAAGGCAGCCUGCUGGACUGUAACUGACGCUGAGGCUCGAAAGUGUGGGUAUCAAACAGGAUUAGAUACCCCUGUAGUC
rnacentral:rRNA from 1 species